GGGCGACUAGUCUAGUGGUCAGGACGCUUCGUUGUGGUCCGAUGGAGUCUGCAACAUCCGAAGAAACCCAGGUUCGAUUCCUGGGUCGCCCA